rnacentral:rRNA from 1 species
UACGUAGGGGGCAAGCGUUGUCCGGAUUUAUUGGGCGUAAAGAGCGUGUAGGCGGCUCCACAGGUCCGCUGUGAAAACUCGAGGCUCAACCUCGAGCUGUCGGUGGAAACCGUGUGGCUAGAGUCCGGAAGAGGAGAGUGGAAUUCCCGGUGUAGCGGUGAAAUGCGCAGAUAUCGGGAAGAACACCCGUGGCGAAGGCGGCUCUCUGGGACGGUACUGACGCUGAGACGCGAAAGCGUGGGGAGCAAACAGG